rnacentral:rRNA from 1 species
AUACGGAGGGUGCAAGCGUUAAUCGGAAUUACUGGGCGUAAAGAGUACGUAGGUGGUUUGUUAAGUCAGAUGUGAAAGCCCCGGGCUCAACCUGGGAACUGCAUUUGAAACUGGCAAACUAGAGUAUGGUAGAGGGGGGUAGAAUUUCUAGUGUAGCGGUGAAAUGCGUAGAUAUUAGAAGGAAUACCAGUGGCGAAGGCGGCCCCCUGGACCAAUACUGACACUGAGGUACGAAAGCGUGGGUAGCGAACAGGAUUAGAAACCCUAGUAGUCC